rnacentral:rRNA from 1 species
CUCAGAACGAACGCUGGCGGCAGGCUUAACACAUGCAAGUCGAACGCUGUAGCAAUACAGAGUGGCAGACGGGUGAGUAACGCGUGGGAACGUGCCCUUCGGUUCGGAAUAACUCAGGGAAACUUGAGCUAAUACCGGAUACGUGCGAGGCAGAAAGAUUUAUCGCCGAAGGAUCGGCCCGCGUCCGAUUAGCUAGUUGGUGAGGUAAUGGCUCACCAAGGCGACGAUCGGUAGCAGGUCUGAGAGGAUGAUCAGCCACACUGGGACUGAGACACGGCCCAGACUCCUACGGGAGGCAGCAGUGGGGAAUAUUGGACAAUGGGCGCAAGCCUGAUCCAGCAAUGCCGCGUGAGUGAAGAAGGUCUUAGGAUUGUAAAGCUCUUUCGGCGGGGACGAUGAUGACGGUACCCGCAGAAGAAGCCCCGGCUAACUUCGUGCCAGCAGCCGCGGUAAUACGAAGGGGGCUAGCGUUGCUCGGAAUGACUGGGCGUAAAGGGCGCGUAGGCGGUUUGUACAGUCAGAUGUGAAAUUCCUGGGCUUAACCUGGGGGCUGCAUUUGAUACGUGCAGGCUUGAGUGUGGAAGAGGGUCGUGGAAUUCCCAGUGUAGAGGUGAAAUUCGUAGAUAUUGGGAAGAACACCGGUGGCGAAGGCGGCGACCUGGUCCAUAACUGACGCUGAGGCGCGAAAGCGUGGGGAGCAAACAGGAUUAGAUACCCUGGUAGUCCACGCUGUAAACGAUGUGUGCUGGAUGUUGGGCAACCUAGUUGCUCAGUGUCGUAGCUAACGCGAUAAGCACACCGCCUGGGGAGUACGGCCGCAAGGUUGAA